CAGCUCAGGUUUUUCUUUAUUGAUGUAUAAAGCUUUUACCUUUUAUUAAAGUUUUCUGUGGAGGGAAAUGUUAAUGAGCUCAGUAUAUUUUUGCAGGCUUUGCUUUAGCGGAGUU